rnacentral:rRNA from 1 species
GAGGGCGGGGGAUAACCACUGGAAACGGUGGCUAAUACCGCAUAAUGUCGCGAGACCAAAGUGGGGGACCUGAAAGGGCCUCACGCCGUCGGAUGAACCCAGAUGGGAUUAGCUGGUAGGUAGGGUAAUGGCCUACCUAGGCGACGAUCUCUAGCUGGUCUGAGAGGAUGACCAGCCACACUGGGACUGAGACACGGCCCAGACUCCUACGGGAGGCAGCAGUGGGGAAUAUUGCACAAUGGGCGCAAGCCUGAUGCAGCCAUGCCGCGUGUAUGAAGAAGGCCUUCGGGUUGUAAAGUACUUUCAGCGGGGAGGAAGGGUUUAGCCUGAAGAGGGCUGGACUUUGACGUUACCC